GUGCUAGUAUUUUUUUGUUUUUAUGUAGUUUCUUUUUUCAAAGUUAGUUUUAUCAUGUUACUAUUUAUAGACAGUAAAAUCCACACUUUUUAAUGUAUAAUUCUACAAGUUUUGAUAAGCGCUUAAAUUUGUGGAACUGGUUUGGUUUUAAAAGCAUGUUUGAAAUGUUUGAGACUUGAUGAAUCAACUCUUUUUCUCUUUUAGACUCUAAAGGACAACCUCUUCACAUUAUUAACUCUUCUAACAUAACUGAUGAACCCCUUCUGAAAAUGUUAUUGACAAAGGCAGACAUUGAUGGACCAGAAUUUAAAACCAUUCAUGAAAAUACCAAACAGAGAGUGAAGGUAAAUCUUUUAUAAUAUGCUAUAAGGCUGAGUUGUAUAAUGAUUAAAUCUAGCUUCACAACUAU
rnacentral:lncRNA from 1 species